rnacentral:rRNA from 1 species
AGAGUGCAGAGACGUGAACCGGUAUAAUGGAAGCAUAUGGAGUUGACGUAUCUGAGUGUUUGUUCAGUUUGUUGUUGGUUGUGUUGGGUUGGAUAAGGUUUGAGAAAUCUGCCUGUCUGAUUCAUUCAUGAUUUUCAAUGAAUGCAUUCAAGCAUGGAGUGUGCCGAAUAGUGUGAUGAUGUCUGUGGAAAUGAAUAAAGUAACGCAAGUUUUUGUUCAAGGAAGCAGGUUGUUGUUACAUUGAAAGUAUGUUGUUUGUGAUUCAGUUCAGCGCUUGUGGUUAUUUGGUUCGUUCACAUGUGAAUUGAUCUUACGAUUGCGAGUGUUUUGCUGGAUUUCCCAAAUACUGAUUCGGUAUCAUAGUCAAUGACCCAUUUGACCCGUCUUGAAACACGGACCAAGGAGUGUAACGUUAGCGCGAGUUAUUGAAUCUAAGAAAUUCAAAAGCGUAAUGAAAGUGAGACCCGUAGAUCGGUCAUGGUGUGAUGUUGUUCGUAUUCGUAUGAAGAAUAGCAACACCGGCUCACGUCGAGGACUUGUCCUGAUGUGACGCUUGAGCGUUAGCGUUGCGACCCGAAAGAUGGUGAACUGUGAUUGAACAGGAUGAAGCCAGAGGAAACUCUGGUGGAAGUCCGAAGCGGUUCUGACGUGCAAAUCGAUCGUCUGAUUUGAUUACAGGGGCGAAAGACUAAUCGAACCAUCUAGUAGCUGGUUCUCCUUCCGA